rnacentral:rRNA from 1 species
UACGGAGGGUGCAAGCGUUGUUCGGAUUUAUUGGGUGUAAAGCGCGUGUAGGCGGUCUCUUAAGUCUGAUGUGAAAGCCCCGGGCUCAACCCGGGAAGUGCAUUGGAUACUGGGAGACUUGAAUACGGGAGAGGGUAGUGGAAUUCCUAGUGUAGGAGUGAAAUCCGUAGAUAUUAGGAGGAACACCGGUGGCGAAGGCGGCUACCUGGACCGAUAUUGACGCUGAGACGCGAAAGCGUGGGGAGCAAACAGG